UACGUAGGGACCAAGCGUUGUUCGGAUUUACUGGGCGUAAAGGGCGCGUAGGCGGCAAUUCAAGUCAGUUGUGAAAUCUCCGAGCUUAACUCGGAACGGUCAACUGAUACUGUUUUGCUAGAGUGCAGAAAGGGCAACCGGAAUUCUUGGUGUAGCGGUGAAAUGCGUAGAUAAUCAAGAGGAACACCUGCGGCGAAGGCGGGUUGCUGGGCUGACACUGACGCUGAGGCGCGAAAGCUAGGGGAGCGAACGGG
rnacentral:rRNA from 1 species